UUAAANAGCUCGUAGUUGAAUUUCGGGGUUAGUAAGUUGGUCAUGCCUCUGGUAUGUACUGGUCUCACUGAUUCCUCCUUCCUGAUGAGCCGUAAUGCCAUUAAUUUGGUGUUGCGGGGAAUUUGGACUGUUACUUUGAAAAAAUUAGAGUGUUUAAAGCAAGCUAACGCUUGAAUACAUUAGCAUGGAAUAAUGAAAUAGGACGUUCGAUCCUAUUUUGUUGGUUUCUAGGAUUGACGUAAUGAUUAAUAGGGAUAGUUGGGGG
rnacentral:rRNA from 1 species